UACGUAGGGCGCAAGCGUUGUCCGGAAUUAUUGGGCGUAAAGAGCUCGUAGGCGGCUUGUCACGUCGGGUGUGAAAGCCCGGGGCUUAAACCCCGGGUCUGCAUUCGAUACGGGCUGGCUAGAGUGUGGUAGGGGAGAUCGGGAAUUCCUGGUGUAGGCGGUGAAAUGCGCAGAUAUCAGGAGGAACACCGGUGGCGAAGGCGGCAUUCUGGACCGAUAUUGACGCUGAGGAGCGAAAGCCAGGGGAGCAAACGGG
rnacentral:rRNA from 1 species